AUGGAGAAGCCCGCGGCGCAGGCACCGGGGAAGGCGGCUUCAGAGGAGAAGCAGCUUGACGACAAGGAGCUGGAGCUAGAGCGGGAGCGGAAACUGAAGAAAGAGCAGAAGGCUAGAGAGAAAGAGGAGAAAAAGCUCAAGGCAAAGCAAAAGGAGACUGCUAGGCUCCAGGCUCAAGCAACAUCGGAUGGACCUAAGAAAAGUGAGAAGAAGCAAAAGAAGAAGGCUGCGGGGGAUGAAAACCCCGAGGAUUUCAUUGACCCUGAGACCCCUAGUGGGGAGAAGAAAUCGCUUGCACCUCAAAUGGCUAAGCAGUAUAGCCCAAGUGCAGUUGAAAAAUCGUGGUACUCCUGGUGGGAGUCAGCAGGAUAUUUUGGGGCAGACCCUGCAAGCACAAAACCACCUUUUGUUAUAGUUCUACCACCUCCGAAUGUGACUGGAGCGCUUCAUAUUGGUCAUGCACUUACAGUGGCUAUAGAGGACGCUAUGAUAAGGUGGAGGAGAAUGUCGGGAUAUAAUGCUCUGUGGGUCCCAGGAGUGGACCAUGCUGGAAUUGCUACACAGGUUGUAGUGGAAAAGAAGCUAAUGCGUGAAAGGAAGCUGACAAGGCAUGACAUAGGCCGUGACAAAUUUAUAUCUGAAGUUCUGAAAUGGAAAGAUCAGUACGGUGGUACCAUACUGGGUCAAUUACGUAGGCUUGGGGCUUCGCUUGAUUGGUCCCGUGAGUGUUUCACAAUGGAUGAACAACGAUCGAAAGCUGUAACCGAAGCAUUUGUUAGGUUGCACAAAGAUGGCCUAAUUUAUAGGGACUACCGCCUUGUGAAUUGGGACUGCACACUUUUAACAGCAAUAUCUGACAUAGAGGUGGAUCAUCUAGAGCUUAAAGAGGAAACUAUGCUGAAGGUCCCUGGUUAUAGUAGUCCUGUACAGUUUGGUGUGUUGAUAUCCUUUGCCUAUCCUCUUGAAGAAGGACUAGGUGAAAUUAUUGUCGCAACAACAAGAAUUGAAACAAUGCUCGGUGAUACGGCAAUAGCUGUUCAUCCUGAGGAUAAAAGGUAUAAGCAUCUGCAUGGAAAGCAUGCCAUUCACCCGUUCAAUGGCCGAAAACUCAAAAUAAUCUGCGAUGCGGUGUUAGUGGAUCCCACUUUCGGUACUGGGGCUGUCAAGAUUACACCUGCCCAUGACCCAAAUGACUUUGAGGUUGGAAAACGACACAACCUAGAGUUCAUCAAUAUCUUCACAGAUGAUGGGAAGAUAAACAGCAAUGGAGGUGCACAAUUUGAAGGAAUGCCAAGAUUUGCUGCUCGGGUUGCAGUUAUUGAUGCACUGAAGGAAAAGGGGUUGUACAAGGACACAAAAAAGAAUGAAAUGAAUUUGGGCAUUUGUUCAAGAAGUAAUGAUGUAGUGGAACCUAUGAUAAAGCCUCAAUGGUUUGUUAAUUGCCAUACGAUGGCAAAGGCAGGUCUUGAUGCUGUAAGAUCCAAAAAAAUUGAGAUUAUUCCGCAACAAUAUGAACAAGACUGGUACAGAUGGCUUGAAAAUAUACGCGAUUGGUGUGUUUCAAGGCAACUCUGGUGGGGACAUCGUGUACCUGCGUGGUAUGUGACACUAGAAGAUGAGCAAUUGAAUGAUCUGGGAUCAAACAAUGACCGUUGGAUAGUCGCAAGGAAUGAAUGUGAUGCAAUGCUUGAGGCACAGAAAAAGUAUCCGGGGAAGAAAUUCCAGUUAAAUCAAGACCCUGACGUUUUGGAUACUUGGUUUUCAUCUGGUCUCUUCCCAUUGACAGUGCUUGGUUGGCCAGAUGAUACUGCUGAUCUUCGUGCUUUCUACCCUACUUCAGUACUUGAAACUGGACUUGAUAUUCUCUUCUUCUGGGUGGCACGUAUGGUGAUGAUGGGUAUGCAACUUGGUGGUGAUGUGCCAUUUCAGAAGGUGUAUUUGCAUCCUAUGAUCCGUGAUGCACAUGGCCGCAAAAUGUCCAAGUCACUUGGUAAUGUUGUUGAUCCCCUCGAGGUGAUAAAUGGUACGACACUGGAAGAUCUCCUGAAACGUUUGGAAGAAGGCAACCUGGAUCAAAAUGAGUUAAGUGUUGCAAGAGAAGGGAAGAAGAAAGAUUUUCCUGAUGGCAUUGCUGAAUGUGGCACUGAUGCACUCCGUUUCGCACUGAUUUCUUACACUUCUCAGUCUGACAAGAUAAAUCUUGAUAUCAAGAGGGUUGUUGGAUAUCGCCAAUGGUGCAAUAAAUUGUGGAAUGCCAUUCGUUUUGCAAUGGGCAAACUUGGCGAUCAUUAUACUCCACCAGCAACCAUUGUUGUGUCUUCAAUGCCCCCGGUCUGCAAAUGGAUACUCUCGGUACUUAACAAGGCUAUUGGCAAGACUGUGACCUCAUUAGAAGCAUACAAGUUCGCCGAUGCAACAUCUGCUAUUUACUCAUGGUGGCAAUACCAGCUAUGUGAUGUAUUUAUAGAAGCUGUAAAACCUUACUUCUUCAAUGACUCUCAAGAGUUCGAUUCAGCAAGAGCUGCUUGUAGAGAUGCCCUAUGGGUUUGCCUCGACAAUGGUUUGCGUCUGCUCCACCCAUUCAUGCCUUAUGUAACAGAAGAACUCUGGCAGCGUCUUCCUCAGCCCAAAGAUUCUUGCAGAAAAAAUUCCAUCAUGAUAUCAGAAUAUCCAUCUGUUGUUCAGGAAUGGGCAGAUGAUAAACUUGAAAGUGAAUUUAGUAUUAUCUUGGAUACUGUGAACAAACUAAGAUCUCUGAAGCCACCAACAGAUACAAAUGAGAGGCGACCUGCUUUUGCACUUUGUCGAGGCGAAGAUAUUGCUGCCACUGUUCAGUGCUAUCAAUCUCUAGUGGUGUCUCUUUCUUCUGUAUCGUCACUUAAGAUCCUGGCAGAGAGUGACGAAACUCCACCUGACUGUUCGACUGCUGUUGUCAACAAAGAUCUGUCCGUAUACCUUCAGCUUCAAGGAGCUCUAAACGCGGAAGUGGAGCUCGAAAAGCUAAGGAAAAAGAGGGAUGAAAUCCAAAAGCUACAGCAUGCCCUUUCUCAGAAGAUGGAAGCGUCCGGUUACAGAGAGAAGGCCCCGCCCAGCGUCCAAGAGGAGGACAUGAGGAAACUCACUGCCUUUUUCGAGCAACUGCGGGUGAUUGGUGAAGCUGAGAAGAAACUAGAUGCGUAA
rnacentral:rRNA from 1 species